rnacentral:rRNA from 1 species
UACGUAGGGUGCAAGCGUUGUCCGGAUUUAUUGGGCGUAAAGCGUGCGCAGGCGGCUUCUCAAGUCAGGGGUGAAAGCCCAGAGCUUAACUCUGGAAUUGCCUUUGAGACUGAGAGGCUUGAGUACGGGAGAGGUGAGUGGAAUUCCCAGUGUAGAGGUGAAAUUCGUAGAUAUUGGGAAGAACACCGGUGGCGAAGGCGGCUCACUGGCCCGUAACUGACGCUCAUGCACGACAGCGUGGGGAUCAAACAGG